rnacentral:misc_RNA from 1 species
AACUUUCAGCAACGGAUCUCUUGGCUCUCGCAUCGAUGAAGAACGCAGCGAAAUGUGAUACGUAAUGUGAAUUGCAGAAUUCAGUGAAUCAUCGAAUCUUUGAACGCAUAUUGCGCUCUUUGGUAUUCCGAAGAGCAUGCUUGUUUGAGUAUCAGUAAACACCUCAAAUCCUUCAAUUUGUUUUGAAGGCUUUGGACUUGAGCAAUCCCAACACCAGUCUUUACGAUCGGUGGUGGGUUGCUUGAAAUGCAGGUGCAGCUGGACAUUCUCCUGUGCUAUAUGCAUAUUUAUUUAGUUCGGUCAAACGGAUUAUUACUUUUGCUGCAGCUAACAUAAAGGGAGUCUGACCAUAUUGGCUGAAUGAUGCAGGAUUUCACAAGGGUCGGCAACGAUUCUUGUAAAACUCGAUCUCAAAUCAAGUAAGACUACCCGCUGAACUUAAGCAUAUCAAUAAGCGGAGGCU